GCCACCGUUUCUUUUUCAGAUGAUUACAUUUUUGUCUCUUGCUCUUUGGUUUCAGACAUUACACGAUGAUCUACUGUCUGGAAAGAUCCGCUCCAACAGAAUGUUCCUUUGGAGGAAUCCCGCCACCUCACUCCGACUAAAGCAGCAUCUUAAGAUAAGGACACUAAGUUGGAGUGAGCAGCGCGUAAGUAAAAAUGCCAUCCAUCAUGAGUAUUUUUACUCUCAGGGGUGUUACAUUUGAAAGGUGUUUACUUUCUGUGUUUUUCUUCAAUAGAUGUUCGAGCUCCUGCGGUUCAUUGAGGUGGCAACAAACAUUUCUAAAAAAAUAAAGAGAGGCGAGAUUUAUCUGCUUGAUUUCGUUUUUGACGUCAUGCUCCCAGAGGUGAGUAGAUCAAACUAUAUAGCUUGCUUUGAAAAUUGAUGAUAUUGUUAAGAGGUUGUUCUUAUUCAUUUGGAAAGCUCAAGAACAACAAUUAACCCAUACUGCAUAACUUCAAUUGUUCACAUUAUUUGACUGUUUUUCAGCUUUUGAUCAAAGCACUGAAGGAGCAUGGCAUCACCCGGUUCAGAGCAGAGCAGAUGAUGGCCUGUGGCAACGUGUUUUAAGCCCCCCACCACACCGACGGCAGUGCUGAAUUUUGUAUAUAUAUAUAUUUUUUUUUACUGUUCACAAUUUUGUUUGGAAAAAAUUAAAGAAAUCUUCAAAGCAGUUGUAUGACAAUUUCCCAUUUCUUUACACAGUCUGUAAUGAUAUCGCUAUUCAAUUGUUUUUGCU